AUACCAUAUGCGCUGCUUUUGAACCCUUGCUUCACACAGCUGUACGUUGCUCUACUAAUCCAAGGAUUAUCAUCGACCGGAGAGAAGAGACGAGACGACCAUGGCGCGCCGCUCCUCCAACUCUUGGUCUUCCUCUCCGGCGCUCCUAGUCGUCGUCCUGGCUGCCUUGCUCAUCUGCUGCCCCAUGCCAUGCUCCGCGGGCAUCCGAAGUGGUGUGUACUACGGUUCUUACGGCGGGCCUCCGGCGCCGCAGGGCGGCCGGCCGGUCCACGCGGGGUGCCCUUGGUGCGGCCCCGCCGCUCCUCAGCCGCCAACGCCGGUGGUGGCAACCGCGCAAGACCGAGCCGCGGCCGCAGAUCAGCAGGGGCGCGGACGGCGUCUGUUAUCUGUCGAGUGAAAAGACCCAUUGGAUGAGCCGACGCUACCUGCCUUGGCGCUGAGGAGCUGAAGAAAUAAGCUCGCCGUCAACUGUUAUCUCGCAUUGACGCUAUAUAUGUGUGUAAUAUGUUUGCCGUUUUGGGCAUUAUCUUAGUAUUUCCUUACGCAAUAAAGGUGCAUGUGACGCUCA